ACAAAGACGCCGUGUGCCAGGUGGCUGACAUUGUUGUGGCUCAGCUCCAGGCGCUCCAGGUGAAAGAGGCCACUGAAGCUGCCCAGCGGCACACGUGAUAUGUUGUUGUACUUGAGCGUUCUGAGGGAGAAGGGAAUGUCAGCUUCUGCAGACGCGUCAGGUUGGCAAAGAUAUUGUCCCGCAGGGUGAGAUUGUUGCGGAUGAUGAUCAGAUUGGUGACCUCCGAGCUGAGACGCGGAAAGCGACGCAGUUUCGCAUAGCGACCGCAGUAGAGAAUGGUUCGCUGGCCGCACUGACAGGCCUUCGGAUAUGUGACGAUAUCUACGGGAUCACAAGUAAGUUAUUGCUCAACUAAAUAGAAAUUUUUGGAGUGUAAUUGAUUUGGGGCAACCACUCACCACAAGUCAUGUUUAGAGUUAGGCUCUGAUUGCGGGGCACCAUCGGCGUGGACAAGUCCGCACCGCUCGCAUUCGCAGCGCUGGAGAUUAGGCGCUGUUGCUUCUUUUCAAUCGCAUUACGCACAAUCUUGUCGGCAAUCUCCUUGCUGCCAUAGAGGAGUCCGCACUCCACCGGAUUCUCGUCGCUGCUGUCGGCGCAGUCCAGCCGACUGUCGCACAUCUGGCGCCUUGGAACGCACAGCGUGCCGUUGUCGCAGGCGAAGCUGGCCGCGGGGCAGGGUCCUGGGAAAAGGACAACGCAGCGAACAGAUCCCAAAUUAAUUAUCACUCAAGGACAGCUGAGCAUAUUGCAUUUGAGUCGCACACAUAGUUUAGUGAUUUUAUCCAAAACAUAUGUAUUUCCUACGAAUGCUUUGUCUUUAAGAAACCAUCUUCACCUUUGCUUGAACCUCUGAUAAUUUCCAUGCCCACACUGCGUAUGAGUAAUUAUUUUAAUCUCUAACAAACAAACUUUAAGCUCCAGCUGACAACUUAAUUGUCAUAAACUCUAUCAAACCAAGUAGUUCAGUUUAUGGUUCGCCUUUUUGUCAACACAUGACAAUUAAACUUAAUGUGCAAAAAAAAAGUUUUGUCUGUCGUUUCUUUGAUUUUUGAGAGCUUUGCUUUGUUAACAAUAUGUGUUUUCAAGCGUUUAAAUCAAGUACAUGUAUCGAAAUAAAUUAUUGUGCCAUUGUGGCUAAUUUAACUUCAAAA